UUGGUGUGAAAAAGUACUAAGAAAGAACAUUUCCGUUUUCCAGGGUGGAAUUUAAUUAGGAGGAAUUAAAAGGUGUAGUUUAUAGUUUAAUUUAAUGUGAUGAAACAAGGCUCAGCUCCCUCCCCCUCCUGCCCAAAUCCCAACCUGAGAUGAUGGCCUCCAAUUGCAGCUGACAGCCAUGGGAAGGGAAAUGCUUACCAAGAAGAAAAGGGAGAGAAAUUCCACUCCAGAUUUAUGACUUGUGAAGCAGAGGUUGCCUGGGUUUAGCCUCAUUUUAUGUCACACUGGGUCCCACAGACUUGACUUUGUUGUGUGCCCAGGAAUGGGCUGAAAACUGAUGGUUUUGGCUGCUUUUGCAGGUCACUUGUGUGUUCAGGUGCUAUUUUGGGCCAUGGAGGCUCUUGGUUGUAUGGACGUGGUGAAGUGUGUGUUCAGACCUUGUGCUUGUCCCGGUGAGGUGGGGGUUUUCCAGGCAUCUUUUAGGCUAGUGACACGGAUUGGGAACAUCAGGUUGAAAGGAAUGAGAGGGGUUUGGCCCCAGGGACACUGGCAUCGAAGACUGUAAGCACUGAAUUCUUUUAACUUUCUUAAUAGAAUGUGGAUGAGAACAAGUUUGGAAAGCAGAGUUAUUUAUUAACUAAUACUAAUAUUGGGAAUAGAUUUCUAUUUCUGUGUAUUUCAUAUCCCAAAGUUCAAAGAGGUUAAUGAAAAUGCUCAGAUUAUGGUUCAAAUAGAAGGAAUUAACUGAUGAUAUGACUUGGCCACCAUAAUAUUGGUGCUAUGGUUUAGUGGUGGCCUUGGGGUAAUGGUUGGACUUGAUGAUCUUAAAGGUCUUUUCCAACCCAGUUGAUUCCAUGAUUCCCACCCCUCACCAAGAUCAAACCAGCUGGGUGGCAAAUGAGUCUCCGAGGAAAAGGAAUGCCUUUUUCCCAGCUUUUGAAGAAGUGGACAUCUAUUUUAACAAAGGAUGAGCCUGAGGACCUUGCUGAGCAUCACCCUCCUGCAGGAUGAGCAGCUACAGAGGCUCCAGCUCUCUCCUUCCUCCCAGGAGGAUGAUGGAGGGGCAAAGACCAACAAGUCUACCCUGGGGACCCAUGUGCCUGUCUUUCCUGCAAGGUCUGUUAAAGGGAGAUCUUGUGCUCCAGUGCUGUGGAAAGGAACAGCCCUUGCUUUCCAUUCCAACUGCUUUUGUUUGAAUAGGUAAGUAUGGAUGUGAAUUCCUGCCUCCUGAAAAGGCUGGAAGAGCCUGUUCCAGGUGACAGGGAUACAAACUGAAAGGGCUUCUAUGGAUUUAAUGGAAAAGGCAUAUUUUAACAGAGCUCUUUUUGUUCCAGAAGACUGACUUGGCCUAUGAGGAAAUGGAUGGGAAGUGGUACAGGCAAGAGGCGUGGAUGAGCUGCACAGCAUCUCACAGUUCCUGGCCAGCAGCCUAGCCACGGGGCCUGUUUCUGGUUCACAGCUUUCCAUGGAAUGAGGUUGGUGGCAAGUGGUUCUUAGUUUCUUCUCUGCUUUCAGGUUUCUCUGCUUUUUGCAACAGCAUCUACUGAUGUUGGAGACCCAAGUGUUGG
rnacentral:lncRNA from 14 species